CACUGAAGGCCAGGGGAGCAAAGCUGCGCAGAGAGAGAGAUCAGCAGAGCUGGGUGCCCAGCCUCAGGACCCAGGGGCGUCAACACCGCACCAACCAGGAACCAUAGCCACUUACUGUGCUGACUGGGCAGGAGGCAGGAGCAGACCCAGGGCUCACUCAGGGGAGGCCCAGAAAGGGGACCCUCCUGGGCAGUGCCCAAGGUGAGCACAAGCGGGAAGACCCUCCUUACCACUAAGGAGCUGGCCGGGGAAGAGGAGUCCUUCAGCCCAAGGGAAGCAAGGCAGGACAGCAGCACUGUGGACCGGACCACAGAGGUCCCUUCCCCAGCGGAGGUGGGUGCUGAGACGACCCAAGAGCAGCUCGUCCCUCUGUGCCCCACGGACAGCUUGGCCAAGGUCACCGAGUGCAGCUCAGGCCGGGAUGGCGCUUAGGGAGGACAAGGAUUCUGCACUUAGAGCACGUCCGUUCUUUCCUGUGAGUUGAUGCCCCAUCACUGGCGAAGCCCAGGUUUUUAGUUAUUUUUCAAUGGCAGCCUGUCUCUGAGUGGUGAGACGGGUACCAGUGUCCGCAGGGGCUCAUGCACCACCAUCAGCGUCGCCCCUCAAAGUUGUCACUGAAGCACAGUGAACCUCUUUUGCAGCAGGAAGGACUCAGGUUAGACCCAGCGUGAACUUCCAAGUCAGGAGGCCUGGGCUGGCAGCGGUCCGAGCCAGGCUGUGCCGUCCUGUGCCCCGAAGCUCAUUCCUGGUUUCUCAGCCCCUCCAGCCCUUAUCUCUAUAGCUCCCACUUGGCUCCAGAUAGAUCCAUCCCUAAAAAGGACCCAUCCCAUGUGCAGGCCACGGUUUGUUUUCAGACUCUUUGGCUUUGACCUCUGCUCGUGAGAUCAGCAUUUCUGAGUCUGUCUUCGCCAUCUCUGGAGCCAGCAGUGCUCAAAAGUGUUUCCUGUCUGCAGAGUAGCAAGGUCCGUUAGUCAGUCGAGGAUGGCGGUGCAUGGGAGGAGAGUCACACCCUGGAAGCUUCGCCCUGUGCUCUCUGCUCUGAGCAUCAGGCUGCAUUUUCUCUGUUUUGCAAAACAGGAAACUGAGGUACCCAAGAAGUCACCCCCCACUCCUCAGUCUUAGGCAUAGACUUGGUCGGCUACGAGGGAAGGAACUUUAAGUCUUUCCUGAGAACACUCGCUGCCUGCCUCAGUCUCCCCUGAAGUCCACAGCUGGGUCUGAGGACCAAGAAGAGGAGAAAAAGCGUCAUCCCACUCUGGGCUUUCCAGGGUUUGUGCCUACAGACUUCCUUCUACAGAGGCCCAGAGAAGCCAAGUAGCCAGUCUGACGUCACACAGCACAGUGAGGCCCAGCUGGCCCUGGUCUGUGGUCCUACCUGACUCAAGACAAGAGGACAAGGCAGAGGAUGUGUCCAGGCUAAGACGGGGCCUGACUGAAAAUGAGCUACAAGACUCGGGCAAGACAGACGCCCAGCUGCCUCACCACAGGAUGGCCUGCGACACCUGGGCGUGAUCUGCAAGGUCAAGGCAUGCAGGGCUCUGGGUGAUCAUGCCCAGGGACCCCAGGGGAGAGCUCCUCGGUCCCGGGAUCCCCUCGCAUCCUUCUGACAGCCCGCAGGAGCCCCGGCCUCUGUCCCAGUGCUUCUCCAUGCCUCCCGUGCCGUUUCUAUCUUCUGUACUGAUGAAUCAUCGGGUGGCAGGGCCGGUGGCCACUCCAACUUCCAGUGAGUUGAGGGGACUGAUGAUGGGGGUACGGAGCCCAUGGACCCGGAAGCUGCCAACACAGCUGGGACUCAGGAACUAGAAACGAAAGCAAAGCAGAGCCAGGCUCAUCUCCCCCUGUCCCCCACCCACGUCUCCUUCCUGCCCUGCCCUGGCUCCUCUCUGACCUCCAGAUUCCUGAGGCCCAGAUCACUGGUCCCCUCGGAUCAGCCACAGCCAGGUGGUCCCGUGACUACCUGGGCACUUCCCACCCACCCUGGGAGCCAAGCCUGGGAAAGAAGGGAAGAUAAUGUGCUGAGAAACAGAAACAAAGGAUGUGGCAUCUGGGGAAUCAAGGCCCACCUCAGGGCUGUCCCUUGCAGAGGCAGCCCCUCCCUGUGUCCCCUUUGGGAACGAGUGACCUUUUCUCAUGGCUCCAGAAUCUUUCUAGCACCUGCUGGCUAAUUGUCAGCUUGAUUGAAUUCAGAGGUGCUGAGAGUGUGAUUGGCACUGAGCUCCCCCAUGGAUGACACCCCUGAGGGCCUCAUUGCAGGAGGAAACGCUGCACAUUUCUCUCCGACUCCCCCAUGAGGCUGUGUCCUUCCUCAACCAUGUUUCGGCCUGGAAUCAGCUGACCAUGGACUGUCACCCUUGAAACCAUGAGCCAAAAGAACCGCUCCUCUUUUAUGUUGUUGGUCGCAGGUAUUUUGGUCACAAUGACAAAAACCUGACCGGCACAGGGAUAAAGUUUCCAACACAGGAAUUUUGGCUGGACACAUUAAAACCACAGCAGAGACCAACGUCCACUUUCUGGUCUGAACACCUACUAGGGCCAGGCAGGGAGCCCUAAGACUGAGUGCCCUUUGGAAACAGAGCCCUCGGGCCCAUUUGCUGAACAGCCCGAGUAAUAGAUAUUUGGGAAACUUCACCCCCACCACAGUCUUGAGAAGUAAGACCACCACUCCUCCUUACACAAGGGGAAAUGCACAGCGCUUGGUGGGCCUCAGGUCGUCCUGGGCUUAGGGGGUGGAAAAUACUGGAACCAGGCUCCAGGGAUCCGGCCAUGGAGGGACUCAGGCAGCUUAUUCACCCGCCCUCUUGGUAAGCACCUGCAGCUUGGGCCUGGAGAAGACCAUUACCUGUCAGCCUGCUGCCAUGCGAGCUGAAAAUCAAACAACCUUCCCCUUCCCGCCCCCUCCCCCCGUAGCUACUGGGGAUAGAUGUCUCAGCAUCUCUUGGGAGGACGACCAUAUGCAGUAUAGCAAAUACGGGGGAUUUCCUUCUAUCUUCUGUUUGAAGGUAAAGGUUGUUUUCACUGUUUUCUUUCUUUGCUCUAUUCAAUACUCUCAAUUGGAUUUAUAAUGUUCUGUUUUUGGUUUGAUUUUACAAUAGGUAAUUGACUGGACAGCUAUUGUUAAGUUAAAGAGAUAUACCAUGGUACUUAGUACUACUGUCCCAAUAUCCUACUGUGAAGUCCUGUACCAAUUUCACUGCAUUGUCUCGAUUGGCUUUGUUCUGUUUUGUGCUGUUACAUUUUUACUACUUUCAAAAUUAAAAAAAAAGAAAUACAUGUUAAGACUCAUGCAUGUGUAGAAUCUAUAAACAGUUUAUGAGAACUGAUCUUAUGAUAAUUGAUGAAAUGAACAGAUACUUUGAAGAAAAGGAGACACUAAAAUAGCCAGUGCUGAUCCUGGACUGUCAUAAUGUGAAACCCAGCAAUAGUGUUAUUCUUUGUUCAGAGUGAUAUUAACCUGCUUGGGUUUAUUCAAAGUCAACAUAAUUGAAGAUAUGGAUAACUGCAUAUAUGUUUAAGUGUAUAGGAUUGAUAACUGAAGAGACGAAGAAAGCUCGUUCCAUCUGCUGCUUCCCCUCCCCUUCUCCCUUCAAAUCCAACUAGGUUAAGUUUUAACUUCCUAAAGGCCAUAAAACAAAGGCCUGAGGUACUAGCUCCUGACAUCCUGGGUCUUCUCUAUCUGGUAGCCCCGUCACAAAUUGUGUUAAUUGCAUCAGAUUGUAUUAGAUUGUACAUUCUUCACAGAAAUAGCUUUGUUUAUAUCAUAGUAAUACCUGUAACUGUAAAUGUGUGUCUUCCUUUUCCCCUGGGUAAAAGAUUGAUAUGUUAAUCAAUGCUCUCUUCUGUAAAGAAUUGUAAAAUCUUACCCAAUUGAUAUGUUAACCAUUGUUGCCCUCUACAAAUAGAAAGGUUGUGGUGCUAAAGUAAGGUAAUUAUGUCAGGAAACUCAGAGAUAAAGUCUGCUGACUAUGCUAAUCAAGAUUGGGAAGUAUGUCAGAACCAAGCCACACAGGAGCUAGGUGACCUAAAAAUAAGCUGUGCAAAACAAGACAGUUAAUCAACUCUGACCCACUGGUCACCCCUCAUGAUCUGACCAAUCACAAAUGGACAAAUCACCAACUGUUCUGCUCUAACUGCUAUGAUUGGCUUCUGUAACAAUGCUUGCUUGCUUUGCGGUUUUCAUCCUUAAAAACACCAGCCUUGCCCCAACUCAGGGUUCUCCGUUUCCACCUGUUUGGAGGACCCCGUGUACACGGAAUAAUAAAAACCCCAUUGUUUUUACAUGA